CUGAUCACUAGAGGGAGUGAAGAAUCACUUCAGUUCAUUCAAACUGUGCUGUGAAACAAACCAUGAUCUCUUCAUCUUUACUGUUGCUUCUGGCAGUGAUAUCCUGUAUUGAUUCAAAUGAACUCACUCAGCCUGAGUCUCUGACUGUCCGUCCUGAUGCCACUCUCACUAUCAACUGUAAAGUCUCAUAUUCAGUUACAAGUGAUCAUACAGCCUGGAUUCGUCAGCCUGCAGGAAAAGCUCUGGAGUGGAUUGGAUUGAUCUGGUAUGAUGGAGACUUAGCCUACAAGGAUUCACUGAAAAGCAAGUUCAGUAUCACCAGAGACACUUCCAGUAACACAAUAACACUGCAAGGAAACAAUAUGAAAGCUGAAGACACAGCUGUGUAUUAUUGUGCCAGACACAGUGACAGACGCCAACAGCCUCCCUACAGUAUGUCUCUGAACACCUCAGAAUUCAUUCGGCUGCUUCUGUCCUGUGUCACAUCAUCAAUGAACACUAGUGUCCCAGUGCCACUGGCAGCCAUGCAUGCCCAAGCCAUCACACUGCCUCCACAGUGUUUUACAGAUGAUGUGGUAUACUUUGGAUCAUGA